AAAAAUGUUUAGCUUUUGCAUCACCAGGACUAAAUGCAAUGAAAGUGAGACAUUUUAAACUGUGGCUUAAGAGUCCAAAUGAAUUAUGAAGACACUCUAUGCACUACUGUUUAAAAAUGUAGGGUCAGUGAGAAUUUUUUUUUUUUCACAAAAAUUAUCUGAUGCUCACCAUAUGCAAGGCUGAGCAGAAAUCCAGUGAAAGUAUCAUUGCUUCAGUCUUCAGUCACACAAUCCUUCAGAAAUCAUUCUAUUCUAUAAUUGAAUGCACCCUUGCUUAAUUUAAGCAGUGAUUUCUUAUGUAUUGUUGUAUUCUGGAUCAAUCAAGUGUACGUCAUUGUUUCCUACCAAUGUUUAUCUUGAACUACUGAAACCCACAGCUGUUCCUCUUAUUCUGCUCUUGUCCUACACGCUGCUGACAGCAAGAGAAUGAGUGCUGAGAAAUUACUUAUUCCCCAGAUGUUUGGUGAUACCAGUCAGAAAAGGGAUUUUGGUGCACAGUAUUUAUAAAACCCCACACUAGGGGAAAUAUAGCAGGUGUAAGAGAAGGCGAAUAUAAAAUAAAGGAUGUGACUGCAGACGUGCAAGAAACCACAAGAUGCAUUAUACGAAACUAAUAUAUUCAAUGUUAUUCACCACCUCAAAAUAUAGCAUCACUUUUUCAUUUCUCAAAAAUAGUGUCUUUAAUUUGGGUGUUUAUUUUAUAUAAUGUUACAUAUAGAUUUCAAAAUCUAAAUAAUUCGUAAAAAAUUUAAUUCAGAAAGCAGUACAUUGGUCUGAAUAAGAAAAUAGCUUAAUAUGAUAGCUAAACAAAACUUCUUAGUUACUAGUAACAAAUACUAUGUGCGUGUAUGCUUCUUUCUGUAUUAUUGCAGUUAUUUCUGAAGCAGUGUAAAAAUAUUUGAAAAUGUACAGUUUGUGAAUUGGUUUUAAUAAAUAAAUGCCCCUUUUCACUAUACACAAACACAAUAUUAUGUCUGCUUGUUGAUGGUGUAAAUGUUACUGUGUUCUGUCGAUGUGCUGUCCUUCCUCUUUCUUAGAAUCUCCCCGCUUUUCAUCUCUGCUUUCAUCUUGAGUUCUUAUAUAGCGUUUAAUUUUAACCAGGAACUACCCAACAGUCACCUCUUCCUCCGCAAACCACAAAACCAACAUGGUGUGCGUCAUGGCUUCACACUAAAUGAGCUAUUGACCUUUUGUACAUCUUCUUUGGAGGCCUAGAAAGGGAUGGUAAGUUUCCAUAGUUAACUUCUUCAGUUUCACUUCAAAUUUAAUUCAGUAUACCUCCACAACCCCAAGCACCAAGCCUCUCUUUUAUUUCUCUCUCCAGUUGUUCAUGUGCAUUACUAAAGACUUCUAGGUCAUGUGUGUAUUUAGGUCAGCAAAUUUUCAUAAUUUUUUAAGUUCAAAAGAAU
rnacentral:lncRNA from 1 species